rnacentral:rRNA from 1 species
CACAUGCAAGUCGAACGGUAACAGGUCUUCGGAUGCUGACGAGUGGCGAACGGGUGAGUAAUACAUCGGAACGUGCCUAGUAGUGGGGGAUAACUACUCGAAAGAGUAGCUAAUACCGCAUGAGAUCUACGGAUGAAAGCAGGGGACCUUCGGGCCUUGUGCUACUAGAGCGGCUGAUGGCAGAUUAGGUAGUUGGUGGGGUAAAGGCUUACCAAGCCUGCGAUCUGUAGCUGGUCUGAGAGGACGACCAGCCACACUGGGACUGAGACACGGCCCAGACUCCUACGGGAGGCAGCAGUGGGGAAUUUUGGACAAUGGGCGAAAGCCUGAUCCAGCAAUGCCGCGUGCAGGAUGAAGGCCCUCGGGUUGUAAACUGCUUUUGUACGGAACGAAAAGCCUGGGGCUAAUAUCCCCGGGUCAUGACGGUACCGUAAGAAUAAGCACCGGCUAACUACGUGCCAGCAGCCGCGGUAAUACGUAGGGUGCAAGCGUUAAUCGGAAUUACUGGGCGUAAAGCGUGCGCAGGCGGUUUUGUAAGACAGUGGUGAAAUCCCCGGGCUCAACCUGGGAACUGCCAUUGUGACUGCAAGGCUAGAGUGCGGCAGAGGGGGAUGGAAUUCCGCGUGUAGCAGUGAAAUGCGUAGAUAUGCGGAGGAACACCGAUGGCGAAGGCAAUCCCCUGGGCCUGCACUGACGCUCAUGCA